UUGAAUCGCGUGCAAUCUCUUCUUCUCUUUUUCACCGUGAAGUCAGCCGCCCAAAUUUCCUUUCUUCUUUCUCUCUCGUUCUUUGCUUCGACGACCGCCCUUGCAAGCCGUCGUCCAACUUCAUCGCGUCUCCCCAUCCUCGAAGCCCAAUCGUUUGUCCGCGCGUCCGCCUCCAACCUUCGUCGUUUGUUUGAAGUACAGCCGUCCGCCGUCGCUUUUAGUCUGUCUGCCGUCGACUUCUUCUUCCUCCGACAGCCCUCGAGUAAGACCAAGCCGCAACCCGAGCUGUUUAUCCGUCGUCCCCUCACCAGCUGGGUUCAACUCCUCUUCAAGCCAUGAGUAUAAGCCUGUGGCCACUUCUUCAAGCAAGCCGUCCUAAUCUGCUUGCACGUCGCCGUUGACUCGUUCGUGCGUGGUCGCCUCUACAUUUUUUUUUUUGAACCGCUGUGAGUAAUUGGUAAGGGUAAUUUGAUGAGUUUCGUAGAGGUUUCCGUAGAGGUUUCCAUAGCCAUUUUAAUUGUAAAUGUUGGAAUAUUAGGUUGGAUUGGGUGAGUUACCACUGAAUUCUUGAAGGUGUUGGAGUCAAAUUCUUGAAAUGUAUUGCAGGUUUGGUUGGAGUUCGAUUCUCCAUUUACUUGGGUAAGCUUGUGAACGUUGCUUUGAGGCCUUUUGGAUGAAAGGAUUGGUUUAGGAAAAAUAUUUGAUAAGGUAGGAGUUCGAUUCUACUCUAUGUUAUGUUAAGUUGGUUCUUUGGACUUCUUUUAAGCAAAGGUCUUUACUAAGUGUGAAUUAUAAUUAGGGACUUCUACUACUGGACUUAAUUUUAGAUCGACUCAUACUGAUAUGGGAAUUAUAACAUAAUGAUCGUACUGUUUGAUUGUUUGUAUAGAUAAAAAGUAUUGUUAAGUAUGCUUUGAAUUGAGUAUAGACAUCAUGGCUACUAUGUGAUGUUUGGACCGUUAUGUGUUAUAUAUAUAUAUAUAUCGAAGGAUUAUACUAUUGACAGAGUAUAAACGACUUGACUAUUAUAUGUAGUUUAUACAUACUGAUAGGUUGUAUUGUUAAUGGAGUAGUGAUGUUUGAGCUGUUAUGCAUAGUUUGUGCAUACAGUUGGGUUGUGCUGUUGAUGGAGUAUGGGUUCUGAUGAACUGUGUUGCAGACUGAACAUAGGCGUUAUGUAUAGUUUAUUUAUCUUCUUCGAGUUAAGCCCUUAAGAGAGUAAGGGUUUAGAACUGCUAUGUGUAGUUUGAGUGUACCGAUGGAUUGUGCCGCUGAUUGGAUAUAGGCGUUAUGCUUAGUUUAUAUUUACUUGUGGUUUGUGUCAGUUUGUGCUGAUGGAUGGAUUUAGGCAACAUGAAUGUCAGGUGUAAUUAUUUAGUGAUAUUGAUUUGUUGACUGGAUUUAGGUAAUGUGAUUGUAUUGUGUGGAGUGGAUAUAGGUAUAGUGACAGAUGAUAUUGUUGACUGGACCUUGACUGAUUAUGCUUAGAGGCUGGACUGUUUAUUUGAGUCAUAUUGUGAUGCAACUGUUGUAGACUGUUUACAAUGAACUGGGGGUUAAUUUUAUUUAUGGGGUAGUGUACCUUGCAGGCACGGUGUCCUACGGGAUCACCACAUAUUGUAUUCGACGGGAUCACUAGACUGAUAUGUGUAUCUGACGGGAUCACUAGACUGAUUGAUGUGUGCAUCCUACGGGAUCCUACGGGAUCACUAGAUUGUUAUGUUGCAGGGUAAAGGGUAACAUGCGAGGAAGACUGGCGAGGGGCAAGAAGGAUUUGUGAAUGCCAUAGGGGAAUGUCUAAUUUAAUAUUUCCGCUAGAUGUUUUGUUUUGUUAUCUUAGAUUGUUUUGAGGAUUUGAAAUGAGUCAAGUUUAAGAUAUUUAAUUGUUUUGUUUUA